AGCACAGGGGAAAGGGUCUGCCCUAAGAGGCCCUUGGCACACAUAGGAGGAGCAGUUUAUUUUUCAUCAUGGAGUAGGAUGUGAAGGGCAGAGCAGUUCAGGUCUGUGUCGUGUCCUUUGUCCAGUCUGCUUUUUGUCUUACACUUCACAGUCACCAUGUCUUUGCUUUCUGUCCUCUAAGGUCUUAUCAGAGAUGCCAAGGCAUCAUUCCUAGGGUCUUGAACCUCUGCACUGCCCAGCCCAGUGCCCAUACCAUCCGUUCUUUGGCUCACUAGCUUGGACGUGCAUCGGAAUCGCAUCUGAGAAGUGUCAGGUCAGGUGUCUUUUACAGCCUCCUUACAGGUUGUAUCGGUGGCUGUGCCGUGCAGUCAUCCCUUGUCAUCCCACCUAGGACUUGUGAGAAUCUAAGAAGAUUCUGAACAUAGCCUUGUCUCCCAUCUGUCUCAGCAAUUUUGGAGGCAGUUCUUGUCCCAGGCCAUUCUGUUAGAGUGUCUUUUCAGGCUCCUCAGAGCCUCCUCCGUUCAGUCUCGCCGCCGUAUCCUCCGUCUUCUCGUGCGGCAGCACAUCCAUUUUGGCGUCGUUCCUUUCUCAGAGUUCUCUCUCCUGGUUGCACCACAGCACUUGUCUGGAAAUGUGUCCUUGGAGUUUGUGUUGGACCUGGAACUGCUCUGCCCUGCAGUGUAGAGUUGGGGGUAGGUGGAGUAGAAAGGAGACUUUCCAGUUACCCUGUGGAUAGGCUUAGGCACUGAGGGCAGGGCCUUAAAGUGAGGUCUGUGUUUGUUUGUGGAGGUUGUCUUUGGACCCCAGAGAGCUUGUCUAGAGAGAAAUUAGAAUUGCACAGCAGUUAAGGUCUCCCUGUCUAUGUGGCUGACUUUGGUAACUCAUUUCUUUAGAGCGUCAGAGGCACUGGAUGUAAAGCAGAGAUAAACAGAAGAGGCUGGAGGAGCACAGUCAGAAGGUGGGUUCUCAUGUGAGGUCAGAGCCAAGACAUGACUUUUGGUCCUAGGUUUACUUGAUCAUUUGGAUGGUUUGGUGGUUUCGUUUUGUUUUUUUAGU
rnacentral:lncRNA from 1 species